CUUUAAAAUAAUUACGCCAAUAUUUCGAUUAUUCAUUGACAGUAUAGGCUAGAUUCCAAAUCUAUUUGUAUGAAUUAAAAGAACGAUUGCAUUAAACUUAAAAAUAUACAAUAGAAGAUAAUUUAUUUAAGAAAUGUAAAAAAUUAAGACAUUAAUAAUCACCAUGUAUACAAGAAUAUGGACUGUGAUUGAACUAAACAAAAUUAUUUCUAUAACUAUCAUACACGUACUUGACUUAUUAUUGUUUCUUAUAUUAUUGCCGUUCAUGAUGUGGGAAUGGAUUUCUGAAAGGCCAUAUAUAAUAACGAUUUUGAGAGCGAUCAUCGAGGUCAUUUUAGAGUUGAUCAUGUGGAUUAUCUUUGCUGGUGUAUCAAUACUUACUACUCUGAUUUUUGUAUUUGAUGAUGUAUAUUGCAGUAAAACAUAUUGUGA